rnacentral:ncRNA from 2 species
GCCAUGACUGCGGGAGAGACUGGCCCAGCGCCAGCGCCGAAGGAGCAACCGCCCCGGAAACUCUCAGGCAGACGGACCGCAGUCAGGUC